UACAGAGGUCCCAAGCGUUGUUCGGAUUCACUGGGCGUAAAGGGUGCGUAGGUGGCGGGGUAAGUCGGAUGUGAAAUCUCGGAGCUCAACUCCGAAACUGCAUUGGAAACUACCUUGCUUGAGGGUUGGAGGGGGGACUGGAAUACUUGGUGUAGCAGUGAAAUGCGUAGAUAUCAAGUGGAACACCAGUGGCGAAGGCGAGUCCCUGGACAGUUCCUGACACUGAGGCACGAAGGCCAGGGGAGCAAACAGG
rnacentral:rRNA from 1 species